AGAAAAGUAUUUAAAAAAAUAAAAUCUAAAUUGCAAUUAGAAAUUGAAGUAAUUCCUUUUCUG
rnacentral:tRNA from 1 species